rnacentral:lncRNA from 1 species
CCAAGAUGUGCCCGCCCGAUAAAGGAGUGAAGCUCUGCUGCUAGCACAGAUGUCGCCAUAGUCUCGAGGCACCGUCUGGCAAGGCGAGAGGCUCUGCUUGUAGCACAGUCGCUACCAUAGUCCCGAUGCCCUUUCUGGGUAGGUAAGCAACCAACUAUCCUGCACUGUUUUUUUUAGUUUGUAAUGCAUGUAUUUUGAAAUUGGGCUUGGUGCCUAGCUAGGUCACGUUUACUAAUGACUAUUUG